rnacentral:rRNA from 1 species
UGGGGAAUCUUCCGCAAUGGGCGAAAGCCUGACGGAGCAACGCCGCGUGAUCGAAUGAAGGCCUUCGGGUUGUAAAGAUCUGUUGACAGGGACGAAUAAGCAAUGCGAAUAGUUUUGUGUAUGACGGUACCUGUUUAGAAAGCUCCGGCUAACUACGUGCCAGCAGCCGCGGUAAUACGUAGGGAGCAAGCGUUGUCCGGAAUUACUGGGCGUAAAGGGCGCGUAGGUGGGCGCUUAAGUCAGGUGUGAAAACUCCGGGCUCAACCUGGAGACUGCACUUGAAACUGGGUGUCUUGAGGGCAGGAGAGGAAAGUGGAAUUCCUAGUGUAGCGGUGAAAUGCGUAGAUAUUAGGAGGAACACCAGUGGCGAAGGCGACUUUCUGGACUGUACCUGACGCUGAGGCGCGAAAGCGUGGGUAGCGAACGGG